rnacentral:rRNA from 1 species
UACGGGAGGCAGCAGUGGGGAAUAUUGCACAAUGGGCGCAAGCCUGAUGCAGCCAUGCCGCGUGUAUGAAGAAGGCCUUCGAGUUGUAAAGUACUUUCAGUCGUGAGGAAGGUGUUAAGGUUAAUAACCUUAGCAAUUGACGUUAGCGACAGAAGAAGCACCGGCUAACUCCGUGCCAGCAGCCGCGGUAAUACGGAGGGUGCGAGCGUUAAUCGGAAUUACUGGGCGUAAAGGGCACGCAGGCGGUUAAUUAAGUUGGAUGUGAAAUCCCCGGGCUUAACCUGGGAAUGGCAUUCAAGACUGGUUAGCUAGAGUCUUGUAGAGGGGGUAGAAUUCCAUGUGUAGCGGUGAAAUGCGUAGAGAUGUGGAGGAAUACCGGUGGCGAAGGCGGCCCCUGGGACAAAGACUGACGCUCAUGUGCGAAAGCGUGGGGAGCAAACAGGAUUAGGAUACC